AUGUUCUUCAUCGACGUGCUCCGCAGGGCCUUCGUUGAGCGGGAGUACACCGACGGGCACUUUCAUCUCCACCUGUACAGCUCCAAGACAAAGACAUGGAGCACCAAGCUGAUGCGCCUUGAUUCGCCGCCGGAUUUUGAGUUCCAUUCUCGCAACAAGGGGAUCACCAUCGGAGGGGAGCAUGGCUCUGUUGGUUGGGUCGACCUUAGGCGCGGCAUUCUCAUAUGUGACCUUCUCCUCCUUGACAGCAACCAGAGCCUUCGCUACGUCCCACUGCCUUCGCCGCUGUCGCCCGAGCCACUACAGCGUUAUCCGUUGUCUGUUCGGAACAUCGUUGUCCUCCAAGGUUACAUCAAGAAUUUCGAGAUGCACAAUAAUGUCAGACCGAGCUCAUACACUGGAAGCUCCCCGAUAUUAGAAGGUUGGAUUGCUGCAACAAAAAAGAUAAAAAUUUCAAGCAUUGGUUCUGGUAGUAACUGGGAGGAGGACUGCACUAUCAGAUGCUCUGAUGAUGUCCCAGUGGAUAACCCUGUGUAUGCCCAAAUGUUACCUAAUCCGCGGGAGGGUGAUGAUACCAAGCCAAACCUGAAGAAAAUUUGUGUAGGCUAUCCUGCUCUUAGCUUGCAUGAUGGUGAUGUUGUUUACCUCAUGCACACACCUGUUCCCCGUGAGGGUAAGGCCUGUGUGAUUGCUCUUGAUAUGAGGAACAAGACUGUAAAAGGUGUGGCUAAUUUUGGCUCUGGAAGACCCCUGGGUUAUCAUUUCACCUACCUUGAGAGUGGGAUCUCCAAGCAUCUAGGCAUUCUCUCAUCGACCAGGCAAGUAUCGAAUGCUGCUGAAACAAAUAGGGAUGUUAAGUAA
rnacentral:rRNA from 1 species